rnacentral:rRNA from 1 species
AUUGGGCGUAAGAGCUCGUAGGCGGUUUGUCGCGUCUGCCGUGAAAGUCCGGGGCUCAACUCCGGAUCUGCGGUGGGUACGGGCAGACUAGAGUGAUGUAGGGGAGACUGGAAUUCCUGGUGUAGCGGUGAAAUGCGCAGAUAUCAGGAGGAACACCGAUGGCGAAGGCAGGUCUCUGGGCAUUAACUGACGCUGAGGAGCGAAAGCAUGGGGAGCGAACAGGAUUAGAUACCCUGGUAGUCCAUGCCGUAAACGUUGGGCACUAGGUGUGGGGGACAUUCCACGUUUUCCGCGCCGUAGCUAACGCAUUAAGUGCCCCGCCUGGGGAGUACGGCCGCAAGGCUAAAACUCAAAGGAAUUGACGGGGGCCCGCACAAGCGGCGGAGCAUGCGGAUUAAUUCGAUGCAACGCGAAGAACCUUACCAAGGCUUGACAUGGGCCGGACCGGGCUGGAAACAGUCCUUCCCCUUUGGGGCCGGUUCACAGGUGGUGCAUGGUUGUCGUCAGCUCGUGUCGUGAGAUGUUGGGUUAAGUCCCGCAACGAGCGCAACCCUCGUUCCAUGUUGCCAGCGCGUAAUGGCGGGGACUCAUGGGAGACUGCCGGGGUCAACUCGGAGGAAGGUGGGGACGACGUCAAAUCAUCAUGCCCCUUAUGUCUUGGGCUUCACGCAUGCUACAAUGGCCGGUACAAAGGGUUGCGAUACUGUGAGGUGGAGCUAAUCCCAAAAAGCCGGUCUCAGUUCGGAUUGGGGUCUGCAACUCGACCCCAUGAAGUCGGAGUCGCUAGUAAUCGCAGAUCAGCAACGCUGCGGUGAAUACGUUCCCGGGCCUUGUACACACCGCCCGUCAAGUCACGAAAGUUGGUAACACCCGAAGCCGGUGGCCUAACCCCUUGUGGGAGGGAGCUGUCGAAGUGGGACUGGCGAUUGGGAC